CUCAACCUGGGAAUUGCAUUGGAGACUGCAAGGCUAGAAUCUGGCAGAGGGGGGUAGAAUUCCACGUGUAGCAGUGAAAUGCGUAGAUAUGUGGAGGAACACCGAUGGCGAAGGCAGCCCCCUGGGUCAAGAUUGACGCUCAUGCACGAAAGCGUGGGGAGCAAACAGGAUUAGAUACCCUGGUAGUCCACGCCCUAAACGAUGUCUACUAGUUGUCGGGUCUUAAUUGACUUGGUAACGCAGCUAACGCGUGAAGUAGACCGCCUGGGGAGUACGGUCGCAAGAUUAAAACUCAAAGGAAUUGACGGGGACCCGCACAAGCGGUGGAUGAUGUGGAUUAAUUCGAUGCAACGCGAAAAACCUUACCUACCCUUGACAUGGCUGGAAUCCCUGAGAGAUUGGGGAGUGCUCGAAAGAGGACCA
rnacentral:rRNA from 1 species